GGCCUUUCAAUUCCCGUUGCCUGCACCUAUAUUGGCUGUGUCAUGCCCGCAAGGGCCUGACUAUGGCGAUAAACGGUUGUCGUAAUAAACCUUUCGGACCCGGGGGCAGUACCCGG
rnacentral:tmRNA from 1 species